AACGCGAUUUUGAUCAUUGUGGCGCUAACGUGAAUAACGAGAAAAAGCGAGAAUCAAAUCGCGCACUCUUUUCCCCUUGAUUUUUCAUGGUAUUUUCGAGCUUAAAACUUAGUUAUUUGUUGUCAACAUAAAAAAACACGUCAAUUUCAGCAAUAAACCCUCUGCAACACUAUUUAUUGACGUUUAGUUGAUCAUAACCUUUUAACGUGUGUUUAAUUUACCGAAAGAGUUGGUCAGCUGUUCGGCUUUUGGACUUUGGUAACUACGUUUGUAUGACGGUAAGGUGCAAACAUUUCUGGUCGAUGAUGUGAGGCGUUUUUGAAAUAAAAACAGUAUUAUUUUAUUUUUUUGAAACGAAAGAACAUUGAUCAGAAUAUGCUUGAUCAUGAAAUGGUUGUUUAUAACCGAUAUUUGUUAACAUUCUGACAAACAACGUAGUAACCGAGACACCGUUUCCCAGUUUAUCACGAGGAACAUCCGGUGUUAAACUUCAACGUUUCUUGGUUUAAAUUGUGGAAUUGCAAGUGGUGCUGAACCAUGUAGCCAAGAUGUGCAUUACCACUACUCAUGGGAUUUUGCCCAGCAAGUCCACUAUCCACAUCAUGCCAACAAGUUGGGCCGAUAUAUUUCGCCACCCCACAGAAGUGUCAUGUGUUUCGCAUGUGUGCCUUAGGUUCAGCUAUGUUUUUAUGGAAAGUAGACAUUUUAUCUGGUGGACGAGGCCGAAUUGCCGGGGAAAGGAAGUGACAGUGUCGUGAGCCUGGCCCACCACUACUUUCAGCACUAUGGUGUCGGUGAAAAACAUGCUGAGGUUUAUUUCGAUAAUGCUGUCGGCCAAAACAAGAACAAUGCUGUGCUUUGGUAUGCCAUGUGACCUGUAAUGACAGGAUUGCAUGAGAGUGUAACACUAAACACUAUGUUGGCUGGGCACACCAAAUUUGCUCCUGACUGUCACUUCGGCAACUGGAAGGUCCAGUGGCGAUGUUGUAAUGCCGAGAAUCUUCAAGAAAUUGCCCACACUGUUUUCACCUCUUCAAAGUCCGGCCACAACAUCCCACACUUGGUUUAUGACCCUCAACAGCCAAUCACAGUUCACAGUUGGAAAUCAUUCCUAGAUACAUAUUUCAAAACUCUAAAGAAUAAUACCAAAUACCACCACUUCUAUGUAUCAAAACAUAAACCAGGAGUUGUAGUAUGCAAAGAGUUUGUAGAUUCCUCAGAAAUUGAAGUUAUUCUUUUGAGGAUGAGUCCAGAAUGUGGUGUUUUGCCUGAAAUAAAGCACGCAACGUGCCUAGAUGCUGAACGUCAAUCGUACCUUCAAUAUUCUUUUGGUCCAUUCUUUAGAUCUGAGUCAUCAAGAUCUGCAGUAUGCCCUAAACCAACUCUGUGUAAAGUCGAAGUUUACUCAUUUGUUGGUGAAAUGUCGAUUGUAGAUCAAAUGUUUGUGGCAAAUAUGAAAGAAAUGAGUAAAAAAUGGCAUUAUCACAUGUAACCAUAGCAACAGGCUGUUGUUUUAUGUAGUUCUUUUAUGUCAUUUUGUACAUAUAAUGAGCAAUGUGUACUCUUUGUGUCUAUGAAUUAGUUUAUGUGUUAGCUAUAACAGACAGUUAAGUUAGUAUUUCGGCAUGGACACUUCAUUUAAAAUAAGAACAUUUUUAGUGGACAUUGUUUUCAAACUGGCUUACCAAUGUGUAACAGAAUGAUCCAUAUCUUUUGAUUUCUUUGUACAAAAAUGACUAGAAACUUUAGUUUUUAUACCUAAGAUACUUGGUAUCAUUUACAUGCCAAUAACUUAAAACGCAUUGUAUAUUGAGAACACAUUAUUUGUGGCAGACUUUGAAAAUGAUUGGAAAUAGCAUUUUCAUUAGUAACCAUAGCAACCGAUUUUUGCUUUGACCUUCGUGGCCAAUUUCUAUGUCAUUAUAGACAUUAGCAAUGUGUACUUGCUAUUUUAAUGUUGAAGUUAAUGUAACACUAGUAAAGAUAAGUGAUAUAUUUAAACAGGUAUCUUGACAUAUAUAUAAUAUUUAAAAUAAGAACAGUUUUGUUCACAUUGUUUUUUAUCCCUGUGUUUCAUAAUGUUUCAUAUGUUUUAUAACUUUUGUGAAAUUUAACGUGAAACUUUAGAGUUAAUUUCUGUAAAUACUUAGUAUCAUAAAGAUGUCAAUAACUUAUAAAUAAAAAAAAAUUAUGCGGACUUUCAAAAAUGAUUGGUAAUAGCAUUUUCAUAAGUAACCAUAGCAACUGAAUUUUGCUUUGACCUUUGUUGUAAGUUUCUUUAUCAUUAUGGACAUUAGCAAUGUGUACUUGUUUUUUUCCUUUUGUAGUGAAUGUGAUACUAGUAAAGAUAGUUUUAUAUUUUAAUAUUUUGACUUGUGUACUUCAUUCAAAAUAAGAACAGAUUUAGCGAACAUUUCGUUCAAAUUGUGUUAAAGCUCUCUGUUACGAAAUGUUCCAUAUCCAUUGUUGUUUUUUUAAUAUUUGACUGACUAGUUCAGAUUUUAUUUCUGCAAUUGCUUGGUAUCAUAAAAAUGUCAAUAACUUAAAACACAACUUUAUGAAAAACAUUAUUUUUUGAGAAACAUUUAGAAAAUGAGUGAAAAUGGCAUUAUCAAUAGUUACCAUAGCAACCAAAUGCACUUAUGAACUUUUCGUUUACUUUUGUAAUCAAACUAUGAGUGCUUAUUGUUUCUAUGCUAAAACUUAUAUGUUACAUGUAAAUAGUCCUUGACAUGAUACUUAUCUGACAUGGAUAUUUCAUUCUAAAUAAACACAUUAGACCAUA